GUCUGCCGGCGGGAAGCCGUGGGUGCGGGAGGAGCCUAGGCUUCUUCAGUCCCCGGCCCGCCCUGCAGCGAGGAAGCCCGUAGGUGGCCGUGGCGCCCGGGCCCCUAAGGCGCCCUCGCUUACUGGUGCGCCCCCUUCCCACGCUCUCUCGGAGCACACCCCACCUUCCUGCUAUCUGUGCCUCCCCAGCCUCAGCCAAAAGGCUGAAGGACUGGGCCGCGCUUCGCUUCCCACACCUGUGUGCUGGCUGUCCGAGCGCUUUCCAGAAACUCUCCUCUGUGAUGCAAACCCCACAUUUUACAGGUGAAGGAGCCAAGACCCAGAGAGCUUCAGGAUCUGACCCUUGCCAAGCAGUGGUACAAAAAUACCAAUGAACAAGGGGGAAUGUGGCCCUAAAUGUUGUCAGCGACUGCAGACCCAGAAGAUGAUUGGCAACCCAACUUCCAGUCUUAGGUGACAAGUCUUCGGGCAUGGUCAGCAAAGUACUCAAAGGGUCCCUCUCCUUGACUGACUGACUUUAACUGUCUUCUCAGCCUCACAGUUUGGCUGCUCCAUCCUUUCCUCUUCUGCUCCGUCUUCCUCGACUUAGACGAUGGGGCACCUCUGGAUAUGUAAAUCCAAACCAUGACAAUCCAGGUUCUAAUUCUGAUGGUUUAAUCCAACUGGAAGAGAAUCUUUGGCCUGUCAAUGAUAAAAUGGUUUAUAAAGAAGAAAAAAUAAAUACCAUAUACAAGUUAUCAUUAUAUUUUUCAUCUUUGAUCUCCCGCUCUUCCUUCCGGAUCCUCACAGCAUGGUAUCGGGGAACGCUAUCAUCGUACCUAGAGCGUUUAAAGAAUCCGCACUGACGAAGGGGAAAGAGAAACAGAAACAAACUAAGUAUCUCAAGAAAAGCAAAUGCACAAAAUGGGAAUGUCUAAGCUUUCUGUUCAGCUACGCCUACCUUUGGAUGAAGGGGAAAAAAUAAACAUGGUUUCUUUUAAGAAGGAACUAGUAGGUCCAAAAGACAUACCAGCAGUGGGGAUAAACAGAAGAGAAGACAGCUGUAACAUUGGAAGAAAAGUCCGUUUUUCCAUUGUGUCUCUACUAACAAGAGUUAUGGAAAAAUGCUUCCAUUUUUUAUAAUCACGAUAUUAUAUGUUAAAGAUCUAAUUUUCAGGUUAAAAAGAUUGGUCUUUAAAAAUGAUAUUCUAAUAAAGGCCAUAAACCAAAGAUUAUUCAUACCCCUUUCCCACUAACAAAAUGGAAUCAGAUCACAAAUAUUUUACAAAUUACUAUUUAAAUAUGCCAGUGUUCAAAUGGGCCAAUUUAAGAAUCUUCUCUCCUCCAAGGCUCAGCACAUAUCUCUCAUUAGCUACCAGGCAAUUUACACUGCCUGGAUUUCCUGUUGUGCUUAUAAAUUAAGCUGUUUCAUUAAUAAAUCAUGUAGUAACUGUGUCCUGUAAUAAAAGCAAUUGUGUACCACAAA